AGAAACCCACCAAUAAUAGGGUGGAGGAAACCCACUAACUCAAAGUUUAAUAAUAAAACAGCAACAAUGUUGAGUUGAUAUUCUAAGACCCCAAAAAAAAGAAAAAAAAGGAAAAAAAAAAAAACUCUCCUCCUACCAUCUUUCUAAAAAGGGGCAAAGAAGAUUAAAGUUGGGGGGUGGGGGGGCUCAAACCCUAAUUACUCAAUCACAUCAGAGGAACUAAUUGGCAACAACAUCUUUACACCACCAUUCACUCAUCUUCCAUUCUCUUUGUAAAGAACAAAAGAAGGUAUCUUCUUCUUUCUCUCUCUCUAGAUUUGGAUUCUAAUAAGUCUCUCUCCUUUUUAUAUGUUAUUCCCAUGGGAGAUAUUGUUGGCAAUAGUUGUGCAGUGAUGUUUGUCCUUUUUUUUUUAAAAGCAUUUGCACUGUACAUAGUACAAACUAUGCAAAUGAAACAUAAUAAUUGAGGGCACCAGGAUCUGUGCAUAUAUGUAUGUGUAGUUUUUAUCUUCUAGAUCAAUUGGGUUUGAAUAAGAGAGGUUGAUAUUUGCAUUAGAUCUUAUGAUUUUUUAUUUUUAUUUUGAGAGAGAGAGUAAACUAGGAGAGAAAAAAUCACCCAAAAAGAGAGUAAUAUUAAUGAACAAAUAUUUGCAACCUUUAAAAUAUCUAAGAAGAGUACCAAGCCUGAUUAGAACCUCACCCAACACCUUUUUCUUAUACAAUCCUAAAAUUUUAUCCCCAUAAUCAACACUCAGAACAUAAAUAGGAGAUCAAAUCGCAUAAUAAUCAAAACAUGCAGAUUUGCAUGAAUUACUAAAAGCUAAAACCCUCCCCCUUUUUCCCUUUUGUUUUGAAGCCAACCUUUUCUUGUCAUUGAAUCCUCUGUAAAGAGCCUGCUGUUUAAUGCUAGCCACAUAAAAAUUUGAUUUUUAAGAUGCGUGGGGCAAAGCCAAAUUUUCUUAUAAAAAGGCCAUCUCACACCUCCACAGUUGAGAAGGUCACAGAGGGAUUUUAUAGUAAAUUUCCCAUCUUUUGACUAUCACCAGCAAAAUUCUAUCCUCAUCUUGAUUUAAUCUUACAUUUUGCAUCUCUUGUGAUAGUUUGACUGCAUCUUUGGCGAGGUUAAUGGGUUAGUUUCUCAUCUCAACAGAUUACUGGGUGAAAUUUCCAUCCUUUAUCUGGUCUAUUAUCUUUUCUACCAGUGCAUGUAGAAAUGUCUCCUUGAUCUUUGUCAGGCGCGUGAGCAAGGAUUUAAGAAUUGUUCAUUGGCCCAGAUCAUGGACUACAUGCAAGUUUUCGACAUCUUGGCCGCGCAAAAGUAGUUCUCGUCUUGUUUGAGAAAACAGUUUGACUAAAACUGAUCUAAGAAUAGCUUUCUCUGAGUUUUUAAGCAAUUUAAAGCUCCACUCUUCAAUAUUAGCACACAUUACCUGGGUAUCAAUUCAUUGAAUUAUCUAGACAAACCAAAACUUACUGAACAUUGUUUAACUACAUAGAGCAACAACACUUUCAUGUUCUGUUGCCGCUGUGAUUUUAUCGAAAUAGUUGGCGCUAGGCAAGUACAGCUAACAUUUUUCUGUUCCUAUGAACAGAAGAAAUGGUAGUUUUAUUAGGGGCUGAGACAUUAGAUCCAUUUAAGAUAAAGUUGUUAAACAAAAGGCGGCAAAAAGAAUGUUAGUAGCAUGCAGCAUGGCAUCUUUACUGUCAACUAGCAACAAGGAUUAAAAUUGCUAAUAGAGUAGGCACAUUCUAGUUUCUACAUGAUUUUUAUUUGCCUUUUCUUCGAGAAUUUCGUAACUUCUACGAGUGGGGAGUAAUUGAUACUCCAGAUUGUUGGAUAUAAAUCUCUUUUCAUUGUAGGUUGGGUCGAGGGCCCCUCUAACCUAGAAUUUCUACAGAAGUGCAGUUUGAAUAGAAAUGUUCUAAAAAGAACUAUCUAAUUAACAUCUUUUUUAUUUUAAUAUCUGCGUAGCUUUGUUCUGCAGCAAAAGAAGCCUAAAUUGGAGCUUCUUGGCAGAUUCUUUUGAGGCCAAGAAACUCUCUUUUUUUUCCCUUCCUGCCGCGACACAGCUUAUAAUUCUUGCUUGCGUAAACACAUUCUUCCUUGAAGAUGAUUACUCAAACCAUAUAAUGACAUAUUUCAUUUACUUAAGCAAACUAGGGAUAACUCAACUUGAACAUCUCUAUGUUACAUUUUAGAACGAUGGCAUCGACGAAUGAAGCUCCGAGCUGGGCAGAUCAGUGGGGUGCAGGCGGAAUAGGAGACAGAGGCGACCCCGACAAAGAGGCCAAAGCAAAAGAGAACGACAAGAAGAGCACGGGAGGCAAUGCAAAGUCUUUGGCCUCAGCGAGCUUCAACAAGGCCAAGGCCGCUGCGAUAACGGGAGCACAGAAGGUGAAGUGUGGGACAAGCACAGGCUUCAAAUGGGUUAAGGCUAAGUGCCAGAAGCCGAGUUCUAAAUGAAUCAAUGAAUGAAUGAUCUCUGUUGCAGAGACUGUCAGAAAAGGAAGACGAAAUGUUCAUGCAGAGAACUGCUUCAUUUCUGAAAUAGAUUGGGAGAAGCUUCGUCCGCGAGAGAGUGUGAUGUAAUGUUGCUAAUCAGAGUGUGUCGCAUAUAACAGUAGAUUUUCUCAGCAAUUAUUUGAUUUGUUUGGGUGUUAUUUAUCUUUCGUUUAAGGGUGAUUGGUUGUGAUUUUGGACUUUGAUUGAGACCUGCUACUAAGAUAUAUAUAAUACUUGAAUGGGAUUGAUGUGCAAAGACUCA
rnacentral:lncRNA from 1 species